rnacentral:misc_RNA from 1 species
CGGAACUUCCUCGGCCGGAACAGCAACUUCCCAAGACUCAUUCGGAUGUCCAUACAAACACAAAUUGUCUCUCUCUGGAUCGCACUGUGAGUAAAAAUCCUCCACAUCUGUAGUGAGGGCACGGAGGACGGCGGCGUGACGGGCGGAGAAGUCUUUGAAGAUCUCCUCGACGGUGCGAGGGCUAUGGGAGGAAGAGUUGGUAGCCAUGCGUUAGUCAAUUACAAGUCACACCUAUUUCUGGGUGUAGGACAAAUAAGUACACUGCAGACUCCCUGAAGAAAUUCG